AAGGGAUCCCUUCGGGGUGAGCUCGUGGACGAGCGGCGGACGGGUGAGUAACACGUGGGCAACCUGCCUGUAAGAUCGGAAUAACCCCGGGAAACCGGGGCUAAUGCCGGGUAAUACUUUCUUUCGCAUGAAGGAAAGUUGAAAGAUGGCUUCUCGCUAUCACUUACAGAUGGGCCCGCGGCGCAUUAGCUAGUUGGUGAGGUAACGGCUCACCAAGGCGACGAUGCGUAGCCGACCUGAGAGGGUGAUCGGCCACACUGGGACUGAGACACGGCCCAGACUCCUACGGGAGGCAGCAGUAGGGAAUCUUCCGCAAUGGACGAAAGUCUGACGGAGCAACGCCGCGUGAACGAUGAAGGUCUUCGGAUCGUAAAGUUCUGUUGUUAGGGAAGAACAAGUACCGUGCGAAUAGAGCGGUACCUUGACGGUACCUAACGAGGAAGCCCCGGCUAACUACGUGCCAGCAGCCGCGGUAAUACGUAGGGGGCAAGCGUUGUCCGGAAAUUAUUGGGCGUAAAGCGCGCGCAGGCGGUUCCAUUAAGUCUGAUGUGAAAGCCCACGGCUCAACCGUGGAGGGUCAUUGGAAACUGGGGAACUUGAGGACAGAAGAGGAGAGUGGAAUUCCACGUGUAGCGGUGAAAUGCGUAGAUAUGUGGAGGAACACCAGUGGCGAAGGCGACUCUCUGGUCUGUUUCUGACGCUGAGGUGCGAAAGCGUGGGUAGCAAACAGGAUUAGAUACCCUGGUAGUCCACGCCGUAAACGAUGAGUGCUAGGUGUUAGGGGGCUUCCACCCCUUAGUGCUGAAGUUAACGCAUUAAGCACUCCGCCUGGGGGAGUACGGGCCGCAAGGCUGAAACUCCAAAGGAAAUUUGACGGGGGCCCGCACAAGCGGUGGAGCAUGUGGUUUAAUUCGAAGCAACGCGAAGAACCUUACCAGGUCUUGACAUCCUUGGACAAUCCUAGAGAUAGGACUUUCCCUUCGGGGACCAAGUGACAGGUGGUGCAUGGUUGUCGUCAGCUCGUGUCGUGAGAUGUUGGGUUAAGUCCCGCAACGAGCGCAACCCCUAAUCUUAGUUGCCAGCAUUCAGUUGGGCACUCUAAGGUGACUGCCGGUGACAAACCGGAGGAAGGCGGGGAUGACGUCAAAUCAUCAUGCCCCUUAUGACCUGGGCUACACACGUGCUACAAUGGAUGGUACAAAGGGCAGCGAAGCCGCGAGGUGUAGCAAAUCCCAUAAAACCAUUCUCAGUUCGGAUUGCAGGCUGCAACUCGCCUGCAUGAAGCCGGAAUCGCUAGUAAUCGCGGAUUCAAGCACGCCCGCC
rnacentral:rRNA from 1 species